ACUCCAUCUCUCACCCUCAUCUCUCCAUGAUUUUUCUUCUUCUGAUGUUCUCUGCUUCCCUGCUUCUCUGGUUCAAGCAAUAAUUGAUACUCCUACUAUGUUUUUUUUUAGUGUUUUCUUCAGGAGUAGGUAUUUGCACAGUAAUUUUAAUCCUUCUCUACGUAAUCAAGAAUAAACAAAAUUGUAGGCGAACAUGCUGUUAUUGAAUUGAAUCAAGAAUAAAAAAAAAUAUCAAAUAAAAGCAAUUGCUAGAUAACAAAAGUAUUGAAGAUUAAGAGUUAAAAAAUUACCCCAACUCUUUGAUAUUGCAACUAAACCUCUGAAUCAAAUACUUGCAGAUUGUGAUAUUGCAACUAAACCUUUGAAUCAACUUCUCAAAGGGUACCUGAUUUAUUCGAUUGAUGAGUAAAAAAAUCUUCUAAAUCUUCUAUUAACGGUGAUAAAGAAAGAGAGUUUAAAGAAAGGGAGAGAUUGAAUAGCCAAUUUUGGUCAAAACUGUAACAGUUGAAAUAAAAUUCGAAGUUGAAGAAGAGUUUGGAGUGAAAAGAAGUUACUAAUUAGAAAAGGUAUUUCAAUUGAAGAAGAAGAAGAGAUUGAUCAAUUACCUGAGAUAGAGCAAAGCAUCUUGUCGAACGUUAAAACUUAAAACUACUACUUCUUCUUCUUCUUCUUCUUCUGCUUCUUCGCCCUUUGCUUUUCUCCCUCUUCUCAAAGUUUUCCCCUUUCUCUUGGUUUCGUUUGUAUAUAUAAAAAGACACAAGAUUUCAAUUUUGGAAGAAAAACUAAAGAGAUUGAAUACUAAAUUUUGAUAAAUAAAAAGCCCACCGUGUAACUU
rnacentral:lncRNA from 1 species